rnacentral:rRNA from 1 species
AUGGACAAGGUUGAUAUGGCCUUUUCCUGCCCAUUCUGCAAUCAUGGGAGCAGCGUUGAAUGCCGGAUUGAUAUGAAAAACCUGACUGGUGAGGCUAAUUGUCAAAUCUGCCAGGAAAGCUUCAGCACCACUGCAAAUGGAGGCUCUGACGAGUCGGAUGGACGGCGGCGGCAGCUGAGCUUCUCCAUGGCCUGCUGCAGUUCCAGGGAGAGAGCUUUGAAGGUGAGAAGGAGAUAUAGAAGAACAGAAAGAAGGGAGAAGAGGAAGGGCAGGGGUGUGGCGGCCUUGACUGUGAACCUCCGGUUGCGACGGUCUCCGGCGAGAGGCGGCGCAUGGCAUCGACGCGAGCCUACGGGGUGGCGGCAGCGGCGGCCGCUGCGGGAGCUCGGGCGUUUGGAUGCGUUUGGAUCGCAGGCCAAAGGUUAUGCAUAUUAG